AUACUUACCUGUCAGGGAAGAACCCACGACCACACAGGUUGUUUCUUUGGGGCACAGCUCGUUAUUGUAUACCUGAUGUGCUGACCCCUGAGAUUCCCUAACAUCGGGAAAGUUGACUGCAUAAUUUGUUCUAGUGGGGCAGGCACUAUGUUGACAGUCUCC
ensembl:snRNA U1 U1 spliceosomal RNA